rnacentral:rRNA from 1 species
UUCUGUAGGGGGACCCGCCGUUGGGUCAGU